rnacentral:rRNA from 1 species
GCUUGUCUCAAAGAUUAAGCCAUGCAUGUCUCAGUAUAAGUUCCUGUACGGCGAAACUGCGAAUGGCUCAUUAAAACAGUUAUAGUUUAUUUGAUGGUCGUUCCUUACAUGGAUAACUGUGGUAAUUCUAGAGCUAAUACAUGCACCCAUGCCCGACUUUGUGGAAGGGUUGUGUUUAUUAGUUACAGAACCAACCCAGGCUCUGCCUGGUCUUGUGGUGAUUCAUAAUAACUGAUCGAAUCUCAAAUUUGAGAUAAAUCAUUCAAGUUUCUGCCCUAUCAGCUUUCGAUGGUAGUGUAUUGGACUACCAUGGCAGUAACGGGUAACGAAGAAUUAGGGUUCGAUUUCGGAGAGGGAGCAUGAGAAACGGCUACCACAUCUAAGGAAGGCAGCAGG